GGGGGGGCCAUUAUGCCCCCCCCCCCCGGAGAAUUAGGGUUAAUCAUUGACAAAAAAAGAAAGGUUUGUUGCUCAGGCAUUCAGCUUAGAGACCAUAAAUUGUCAGCGUCCUGUAUGAACAUGCAUGGAAUCACCCAAAUUCUUAUGCUUUGGGCAUAUUAUCUUCAGAUAGAACAACAAACCAGAACUAUAAAGGCAACAAAAUAGCUACAGGAAACAAAGAUAUGCAGUCAGUCCAUGUUGUCCGAUAUUUGGUGAUAUCAUGCAUUUCCUGUUAUACUCAAUUUAUUUCCAUCAAUGUGCUUGAAAUAAUACUGCUUGCAUCAAGAUCAACUUUUUUAUUGGAUGAACCAUUUAUGCUUUCACCAAAGUUUAAAAGAUUUUUGCACCUGCAUAAGCAAAUAAAAUGGUAUGCAUCAUAUGGCCAGUUAUCAAAGGUUAAAGUUGAAAAAAACCUGUAAGUCCUUGGAUGGCUCUUUUGAUUGCCUGAAUAGCAGUUGCAUUUGUUAUUCCCGAUUUGCCCUUAAAUGCAAAUUUUCUGCAGCUGAAAGUUCUCCAUUUCAUUUAUAAACAUACGCUGUAGCACAAACAGUAAUCAAGAUAAUGUAAUUUUCUCAAACGAAAGGAAUUGGAGCAAAAAUACUUGAAAAGACAGUUCAUAGACUCAUUUUCCUACAUAAAUUAGUAAGUGGAGGGACACUCCAACUUCGACAUUUCAUUUUGUUCAAAACAUAUUCACAAGAGGGUUAAGCAUUCUGAUUUUAUAGUGGAAGCUGACGUCUUUGGUAAUGCUUUUAUAUAGAUGUAUUAUGUGUAAUAGACAUGUACUUAUGGGCUUUCCUAUAAAAGAAUUUGUAUUUCUAAAAAUAUAAAGCAAAGCUUUGCUUCAUUAUGAUUCUUUCAAAAAGUAUAGAAAAAUUGAUUCAUGUUUAAAAGAUUUUCAUGAUGUCAUGAAAUCCUUCCGAAUGUCAUUCUUCCAGUUUCAGUGACAAUGAAUAUAAUUUUGAAUUAUUUUUUUCUAGAAUUGGAAUAUACUAUAUUGGAUAGACUAGGUAGUGUGACAUUUUCCAUUGUUUGUAAAUACAUUGUUGCAUUGGGCUGUUGUGUUAAUUGUAUAAUGUGCAGUGUAACAUCCACCAAAUUAUUUUUGUGUGAAGGAGAAUCCUAUAGAAAUUUUACAAUCUACAAAAUAAACCCGGACUAAGUAGUGAAUUGAAUCCGCUCACUGAAGUGGAAUGAUUAGGUGAAUAUCAUUCUUACUCAUUAAAAAUAAUUGGAAUAUAGAUAGGUUUUCUUUUUAUAACAUAAAUAUAUGAAGAGUAUUCAAAAUUGUAAAAUAUUUAAAGUUUAUAAGGAGUGCCAAAUUUUAAGGGGAAAAAAAUCACUGCUAUUAAUGUAGCCUGAAUCAUUACUGUACAUUAUACAGUAAUCCUGUUAAUGUUGAUCCUUUUGUAAUCACAAGAUUUUUAACUAUACGAAACUGACGGGUUGAAGAAAACUGAUGUACGGCGUGGGAAAUAAUUUUUGACCAUUCCGUAUGGGAACGUAGUAGAAAAGUGAUUUAAUAAUUUCUGAAACUGUACAUGUAUAGCCCUACCCAGAAUCCUGUGCACGUACAUGAAUGAUAUAUCAUGGUAUAUGGAGGUUGUGAAAUGUGCGUGUUUGCCCACAGUGCAAUACAUUGGUAAAAUACAUAUAUUCCAUAAAUAGCUUGUUUAUAUUAGAAUGCAUUUUGUAUGAAUAUUCAAUGUAGUUGUCGGUAUUUAUGGUGGGUGUAUGCAUUAAACCUGUGUUUCUAACCGUUAGAAACAUGAAC